UCCAGCGCAAACCAUUCCCCUCUAUCGAUUCCUUCGCUUUCCCCGCUCCGUCCUACCUCCAUUUAACUAGCCCCACUGUCUUCUUCGCUCCGCCUCAUCCUCGUGGUCAAGCUUCUCACCAACAUCAGCUACCUGGCCACCUUGGGAGAGAUCGAUAUCUCGAGCACAGCAUCAGGACUCAGGAGGGGAUACACUUUCAGUUUCAGGCCACCGCACAGAUAUCCGCAGCGCAUCGCAAAAUCAGACGACAAGAUGCAGAUGGUACUGGUGAUAUCGCUGCCCCUGGUGGCGCUGGUCAUCAUCAUCGCCGUCAUCCUCUGCAUCAUCUGCCGUUAGGUUAACCAUCUCGCCGUUCGCCGGCAGGACGGACGGACUCCCCGUCCUAUCAUGUAGUAGUCUCGUAGUCUUGUUUGCUUUGUCGUACUGCCGUUGCGCAUUGGUCAAGAUGUGAUUUUAUACCUUUUUCUUUCUCUCUUCUAGCUUGAUUAUCGACGUGAAAUGUAUUGCCGAUUGAUCCAUGUGUGCGUACGUGUGGAGUGCGGUAGCGCGUACUACCGUUGUUUAAUGUAAAGCUGUCUACGGAUUUCUCCGAUUGUUUGCCAUGCUUUCAGCAGAGUGUAAUUGGAAAAGUGGCACUUGGCCCUGCUGAUGAUAAGAAAGCAAUAGAGUGAGCUGGAGUGCUUACAGGAAAAUUAAAAAACCACAAGCGGCUCUAGUACCAAACUCGAACAGAAAUGUAAAGCUCACGGUCUCACACAGCACAGGAGCUGGGCUACAACCGGUGAGGCAACAGCAAAGCAAGACAUGGAUCUCUAAUUACGCUCUUGUCUGUGGUCUGUAAUCUGUAUUCAGUGUUCACGUCUGUCCGUCCGUCCAACCAAACGCCCGAUCGGCCAAGGGCGAAGGCACCGUCCACCACCGAACCCAAACAUCUCCGACGGUCACCGUCAGGGUUCAGGCAGGCCAGUGGCGCCGGAGUCCUCGGUUCACACUCGCGACCGCGAGCCACACGUCACGCGUCUUUCCGCUUCUCCUUUCUUCUCCACCCCACUCUAGCCGAUUAGUUUAGCACACGCACCAGCCAAACCACCUGCUUUUCUCCUCCUCUGCCCCCUUCUCCCCCCCUACUACUACUCCCCUCCGUCUCUUCUCGAGCAGAUCAAGGGGCGCCAGGAGCAGCAACAAGAUCGCCGGAUCGAUCGGCAGCUCGGUUCGUCGCAGGCAAGAGCGGAUGGAGUUCGUGCUGAUCAUAUCCCUGCCGCUCCUCAUCCUGAUCGUGAUCAUCGCCGUCGUCCUCUGCAUCGUGUGCCGCUAGCUAGAUGUCGACGCCCAGAACAACCAGCAGAUCGUCUCUGCUGUGACUCUGAUCAUACCAUAUGUUAAUUAAUGCAUGAUUAUUACAUCAUGCUGACUCGACUAAAAGAAAGCUCUUCUCCGCCUCUGCCUUUCCCGUUUCAGUCAUUGUGGCGUGAGUAGCUGCUCUAGCUUUAUUACCUUUGCUGGUGGCAACAACGACGUUGAUUCCUUGUGUCCAUACUCAAUAGUACAUAUAUGUUGUGAUGUAAGAAGAACAAUUCCCUCACUGCUCUAAUUCGGGGAGAUUUCAUACCUGAAAAAAGUCACCCUUUUCUUUC